UUUCCGUAGGUGAACCUGCGGAAGGAUCAUUCAUAAUAAAGUGUUUUAUGGCACUUUUUAAAAAUCCAUAUCCACCUUGUGUGCAAUGUUAGAUCUCGUCAAUCUUGGCGAGGUUUUUAUACAUCAACUCAUUCUUUAACUAAUUUGUCUGAAAAAUAUUAUGAAUGCUUAAUUCAAAAUACAACUUUCAACAACGGAUCUCUUGGCUCUC
rnacentral:misc_RNA from 1 species